CCUACGGGUGGCAGCAGUGAGGAAUAUUGGUCAAUGGGCGGGAGCCUGAACCAGCCAAGUCGCGUGAGGGAUGACGGCCCUAUGGGUUGUAAACCUCUUUUGCCGGGGAGCAAAGUGCCGCACGUGUGCGGUUUGGAGUGUACCCGGGGAAAAAGCAUCGGACAACCCCGUGCCAGCAGCCGCGGUAAUACGGAGGAUGCGAGCGUUAUCCGGAUUUAUUGGGUUUAAAGGGUGCGUAGGCGGACGUUUAAGUCAGCGGUAAAAUUGCGGGGGUCAACCUAGUCGGGCAGUUGAAACUGGGUGCCUUGAGUGGGCGAGAAGUACGCGGAAUGCGUGGUGUAGCGGUGAAAUGCAUAGAUAUAACGCAGAACUCCGAUUGCGAAGGCAGCGUACCGGCGCCCAACUGACGCUGAAGCACGAAGGCGUGGGUAUCGAACAGGAUUAGAUACCCUUGUAGUC
rnacentral:rRNA from 1 species